AGUUUGAUCAUGGCUCAGAUUGAACGCUGGCGGAAUGCUUUACACAUGCAAGUCGAACGGCAGCACGGACUUCGGUCUGGUGGCGAGUGGCGAACGGGUGAGUAAUAUAUCGGAACGUGCCCAGUCGUGGGGGAUAACGUAGUGAAAAUUACGCUAAUACCGCAUACGAUCUAUGGAUGAAAGCGGGGGACUCGCAAGAGCCUCGCGCGAUUGGAGCGGCCGAUAUCAGAUUAGGUAGUUGGUGAGGUAAAGGCUCACCAAGCCCGCGAUCUGUAGCUGGUCUGAGAGGACGACCAGCCACACUGGAACUGAGACACGGUCCAGACUCCUACGGGAGGCAGCAGUGGGGAAUUUUGGACAAUGGACGAAAGUCUGAUCCAGCCAUUCCGCGUGCAGGAUGAAGGCCCUCGGGUUGUAAACUGCUUUUGUACGGAACGAAAAGGUCUCUCCUAAUACGAGAGGCUCAUGACGGUACCGUAAGAAUAAGCACCGGCUAACUACGUGCCAGCAGCCGCGGUAAUACGUAGGGUGCAAGCGUUAAUCGGAAUUACUGGGCGUAAAGCGUGCGCAGGCGGUUAUAUAAGACAGAUGUGAAAUCCCCGGGCUCAACCUGGGAACUGCAUUUGUGACUGUAUAGCUAGAGUACGGUAGAGGGGGAUGGAAUUCCGCGUGUAGCAGUGAAAUGCGUAGAUAUGCGGAGGAACACCGAUGGCGAAGGCAAUCCCCUGGACCUGUACUGACGCUCAUGCACGAAAGCGUGGGGAGCAAACAGGAUUAGAUACCCUGGUAGUCCACGCCCUAAACGAUGUCAACUGGUUGUUGGGUCUUAACUGACUCAGUAACGAAGCUAACGCGUGAAGUUGACCGCCUGGGGAGUACGGCCGNCAGGGUGAAACUCAAGGAAUUGACGGGGACCC
rnacentral:rRNA from 1 species